CACGUAGGAGACGAGCGUUAUCCGGAUUUACUGGGCGUAAAGCGCGUUCAGGCGGUUUGGCAAGUCGGGCAUGAAAUCUCUCGGCUCAACCGGGAGAGGUUGUCCGAUACUGCUGGACUUGAGGGCAGUAGAGGGUGGUGGAAUUCCGGGUGUAGUGGUGAAAUGCGUAGAUAUCCGGAGGAACACCAGUGGCGAAAGCGGCCACCUGGACUGUACCUGACGCUAACACGCGAAAGCUAGGGGAGCGAACGGGG
rnacentral:rRNA from 1 species